AGGAUCGUUUGCGAUCAUGCCAGAAGCCAUUGUUCAGACGAUUGCAUAGUUAGUUGAACGAUAAGUGGUUAUUUGAGUUGCAUUUUCCCUUUUCAUUUUUAAUUUUCCAUUUCAAGAUGCCUUGCGGCGGUUGCGGUGAUGGUUGCAAGUGCACUCCCACCCAGUGCUGCGCGUCGUGCAAGUGUGAUGCCUCGUGCAAAUGCUCCUGCAAGCGCACCGGCACCGACGCUUCUGCUACUAAAAAGUAGAGAAGCCCAGAAGAGAGUGGAGAAGACUUCAAUAAUCAUGCUUUUAUAAUAAGUUUUGCAUUUUUUUUCCAAAUAUCUUAUGUUAGUCGAUUAAUAAAUUAGCUUAGUAAACCAU
rnacentral:lncRNA from 1 species